GAAAACUAAAAUAAAAAUAAAAAUUAGCGAAUAAUGUGUGAUAUUUUUCAAACAGACACUGAGCUACUGGAAGACACAUAUGAAGGCCAUUUUUCUAUAGUAAAUAAAACUUCAUUGCACCACUACAAGAGUUCGUUACCAAGUGAAUCUAAUUUAACUUCAUUUACACUAUUAAGUGAAGUUUGUCAACAUAACAAGAAAUCUUUGGGUUUACACAAUAACUUUGAUCAGUUUAUUGAAUCUGUUAAAACCUUAACACAAAAUGCUGAUACAAGUAAUAUGUUAUCUUGGAAAAGUUCCUUAAAUACUUUUACAGACCCUGUAUCUUUAUUAGAGGAGUCCCUGGGACAGUGUAGGAAAUGCGGUCCAGCCUGUUCUAGACCAUUAAUUGGAUUAGAUCAGUUCCAAAAUGGCAAGUGUUCAUGUCAGUUAGACCUUGCAGAACCUAAUAAUAGAGAAAACAAACAGGACACUAAAGGACUACCAUUUGU